CCAAGACUCCACCGCAGCUGGAUCCACCACCUCUUCGUCGAAGGUAGGCGGACGAAACUUUGUGAACCUCGUGAGCGCCACAUAGCCUCGCUCACGCUCCGCCUCCUCAGCCACUACCGCGGGGGUAGGAGAACUCGAACUAGCCGGAGGAAUAUCCACCGGUGGGGGUUGCGCCGCCACCGGAACCGAAACACCACCCACACCCUCGGCCGCAUCAGGGGCGCGAACCGAAGGCGCAGGCGGACCGCGGCCUGGACCCGCUGCCGCAGCCGCCGCCAUAGCCUGCUGCUCCAACAGCUCCUGAAUCCUAUCGAACCGUCCAGUGAGCGCCGCAACUUGCGCUCGCAACUCCUGCACCUCAGUAGGCCCAGCUAGCACUGGCGCCACUGGAGGCACGGCUGUCUCGGGCACCUCUCGGGGUGGUGCCGGAGCGGUCCUACGCACGUAGCGUCUCUUUGGUGCCAUAGCUCCUGAAACGCAAACAGUUGGUUAAUUACUUAACUCAACAAUAUCGUCGUAAACGCGAAACAUAACGGUUAAAGAACAUCAAUCAGGCGGUAAGCUUGCAAGUGUCUUAAUUCUCGACUUUCAGCAUCGUGUUGUCGGCCGCCAACACAAUCACCUUAAGCCAAAAAUUAAUACCACUUGAAUCAUCUCUAGACAUAACUAGAGUACAACACCAACACCAACCCAAUCGAUUAGCUUCCGCCGCGUCAUAGGUUCACGUCGCACUCACGCACCUAUAACCUUAGGGUUAACCAACCUAGAGUCUCCUAGGUCAUCCUAGACUCUCUCUUUUGCUUACUCUUAACUCGCUCUGAUACCACCAACUGUCACGCCCCAGACCGCACCACCCGAAAACGGUACCAAUUUGGUCCGAUUCGAGGGCGGCGUGCGCGACCGCCGAACGGACAGAGUCUCCCCUGUUCGCCCAAGGCUAAGCAACGGAUUGUGUACAACAAGUCCCCAGGAAAACAACUUACAUUCAUACACAAUCAACAACGAAACGAAUGCACAAACAGUGCUAUAACCAACUAGAGCAAGCGAUACGAGUAAAAUCAUACAAGUAUACAAAAGAGAGAAACUUAACUAUUUAAACAUAUUUGAAACAUUAAACCUCUUUCGAUAUCAUUUAAAUUUCAAACAUUUAAAUACAACUUGCAUUCUUUUUACCGAAAUGAAAAUACAUCAAGUGCUCUCCAAAACCUCACCCUAUACAUCAUCUACUCUCAAAGCAUAACCAAAAGUACAGGGUAUAGAGCUAAUGCAAGUAGGUAAAGUAAACUAUCUACCAAAAGCUAGGGCGCUAUGCCCUUACCACGAUCCAUCGAUGAAGGCCCGCUGUCCUGUGUACCUGUACCCCCAAAACCACACGGGGGUGAGAACUACGAAUAGUUCCCAGUGGGUUCGGCCGCCGACUCCACCGAUCUACCCACUAGGUCUCAAGCAGGCAUAGAGAGAUAUAUAUGCAAUAUACAUAUAAAACUGAGCUAAACUAAAAGUGGUAUGUAAACAACUAUAUCAAGCUAUGCCUCAAUCUGGAAUCAUGAAUGCAUGAACAAUAAGUAAAGCUGGUGGGUAAGCAACUAUCAACCUCUACAACAGCUAUCAUAGUAAGCUAUAAACAUGCUACUAGGUAAGCAAAUAAGCCGAUAUGAACAAUGAAUAGCUACUAUGAAUAUCAAUCAUGGGUAAGACUCAAUGGGUAACCCAAUCUCCAAGCGAACACAAGGUUCACAAGCGAGGCUCACAUAUCAAUCUCCUAGGGAUGCCUAGCUGGUCGAUCCCCGAGUACGCCUGCGGAUAACAAGCGGCUAUCCGAGCAGCAAGCACGGCUGCCUCUCUAGUGACCAAACUCCGGAGCGCACAACUUGAGGGGAGCGACCCCACCAAGCGCAGACAGGCAAUGUGAGCAAGAUCAUCUCACGAGCAACAACAACCCUUUGAGGGUAAUCUCAUCAUGGAAUUAAGGUAUACUUGUACCCAAUCUCAUAGUGUCUCAACUACACUAAUGUGAUCAUCUCAAGGAAACAUCAACAAUGUCAUUCAUCAUAGUUUUUCUAACUAGAUGCCACUUGUCAUAGUUUUCUAAACUAGAUGCCACUCGUCAAUUUGACUCAUUAUCAACACUAGUUUCAUCAUACUAGUUCUUUAGCAACAUAAGUAUUAAUCAUCCCAUAUAGGGUCUAGAUUCUCAACAUGUAGUUUUCAUCAUACUAGUUCUUUAGCAACAUAAGCAUUAAUCAUCUCAUAUAGGGUCUAGAUUCUCAACAUGUAGUUUUCAUCAAGCAAUCAUCAUGCAUACUAGAUCAUAACCAACCAAGCAAGAUAUACUUAUUGAACUACUAGCAUGCAAGUAUAAGCAACAAUAAUCAUUUUCUAACCCUAUAUGUUUAUGCACAAUAUGCAAAUAGAUCAAAUUAAACUUAGACAUAGAAGGUGGCCCGAUGAUUUCGGUAUGGCACUCCCCCACCUUGGGUGAUGCCGAAAACACUCCGAGACGCGUUCUCGUGCUAGUCUUGUCGCCGCUUAAUUUUUCGUUGGGUUAGCUUUAACCCUUUAGCGCAUCAAAUGGCGAUAUCUCCGCGCUCGAUUUUCGUAUCGACGAACCGUCUUCGCCUACGCGUUUAUAAGCAUAGCAAUUAGGUUUUUGACCCAUCAAAAUAGAUCAAUCCCUCACAUUUUCAAAAUCCCCAAAAUCUAACCCUAGGGUUAGGAUCCAUGAGAAGCUAUGGAUUUUAGCUUCAUUGUGAGUUAAAUCCAUGUUUUCUAAGCUCAUAAGAUUCUAUUUGAACCAUUAAAAGCAACAAAAACCUCCCAAAACCCUAGAUUUACAAAGUAGGGUUGAUGCUUACCUCUAGGGUUUGCUCCAAAGCAAGCCCUAGGCCAAGAACGAGGUGAAGAAGAGCUUCAAAACCUUCUUCUCCUUCUUCUCCUUCCUUUUCUUCCUCUCUUUUUCCUUCUUUUUCCUUCUCUUUUCCUUCUCCUUCUUCCCACGGUUAGAGAGAGAGAGAGAGAGUAGAGAGAGAGUGAGCUGAGGAGAGAGUGAGAGGGAUCAGCUGAGAGAGGUGUAUAAGACCUCUAUUGUAACAAUAUCCAAAAGAGCCCCUCAAUUUUCCGAUUUUCCAAAACAGCCCUGCUGUCCGCGCGCCCGCGUACCGGUACACGAUUUCGCGUAUCGGUACACGGCCUGGCGGACAGCCAACCCGAGAGCUACGCAGGCUGCCCGCGAUUGCUGUACCGGUACAGCCAUGAACCCUAUACCGGUACAGCAGCUCCAGAGUGCUAUUUUUCACUCCGUUUUGAUUUCUUUUCGCGUCCAACAACGCUAAAACUAUUCCAACACUUUUGGAAUUCAUUUUUAC
rnacentral:lncRNA from 1 species